CAUGCAAGUCGAGGGGCAGCAUUUCAGUUUGCUUGCAAACUGGAGAUGGCGACCGGCGCACGGGUGAGUAACACGCUAUCCNACCUGCCGAUAACUCGGGGAUAGCCUUUCGAAAGAAAGAUUAAUACCCGAUGGUAUAAUCAGACCGCAUGGUCUUGUUAUUAAAGAAUUUCGGUUAUCGAUGGGGAUGCGUUCCAUUAGGCAGUUGGUGAGGUAACGGCUCACCAAACCUUCGAUGGAUAGGGGUUCUGAGAGGAAGGUCCCCCACAUUGGAACUGAGACACGGUCCAAACUCCUACGGGAGGCAGCAGUGAGGAAUAUUGGUCAAUGGGCGCAGGCCUGAACCAGCCAAGUAGCGUGAAGGAUGACUGCCCUAUGGGUUGUAAACUUCUUUUAUAUGGGAAUAAAGUUUUCCACGUGUGGAAUUUUGUAUGUACCAUAUGAAUAAGGAUCGGCUAACUCCGUGCCAGCAGCCGCGGUAAUACGGAGGAUCCGAGCGUUAUCCGGAUUUAUUGGGUUUAAAGGGAGCGUAGGUGGACAGUUAAGUCAGUUGUGAAAGUUUGCGGCUCAACCGUAAAAUUGCAGUUGAUACUGGCUGUCUUGAGUACAGUAGAGGUGGGCGGAAUUCGUGGUGUAGCGGUGAAAUGCUUAGAUAUCACGAAGAACUCCGAUUGCGAAGGCAGCUCACUGGACUGCAACUGACACUGAUGCUCGAAAGUGUGGGUAUCAAACAGGAUUAGAUACCCUGGUAGUCCACACAGUAAACGAUGAAUACUCGCUGUUUGCGAUAUACAGUAAGCGGCCAAGCGAAAGCAUUAAGUAUUCCACCUGGGGAGUACGCCGGCAACGGUGAAACUCAAAGGAAUUGACGGGGGCCCGCACAAGCGGAGGAACAUGUGGUUUAAUUCGAUGAUACGCGAGGAACCUUACCCGGGCUUAAAUUGCAUUUGAAUAUAUUGGAAACAGUAUAGCCGUAAGGCAAAUGUGAAGGUGCUGCAUGGUUGUCGUCAGCUCGUGCCGUGAGGUGUCGGCUUAAGUGCCAUAACGAGCGCAACCCUUAUCUUUAGUUACUAACAGGUCAUGCUGAGGACUCUAGAGAGACUGCCGUCGUAAGAUGUGAGGAAGGUGGGGAUGACGUCAAAUCAGCACGGCCCUUACGUCCGGGGCUACACACGUGUUACAAUGGGGGGUACAGAAGGCAGCUACCUGGUGACAGGAUGCUAAUCCCAAAAGCCUCUCUCAGUUCGGAUCGAAGUCUGCAACCCGACUUCGUGAAGCUGGAUUCGCUAGUAAUCGCGCAUCAGCCAUGGCGCGGUGAAUACGUUCCCGGGCCUUGUACACACCGCCCGUCAAGCCAUGAAAGCCGGGGGUACCUGAAGUACGAACCGCAAGGAG
rnacentral:rRNA from 1 species